ACCUGGGUGGCUCAGUCAGUUGAGCGCCUGACUUCGGCUCAGGUCAUGAUCUCACAGCUCUGUGGGUUCAAGCCCCACAUCGGGCU
rfam:Felis catus isolate Cinnamon breed Abyssinian chromosome E1, whole genome shotgun sequence.